rnacentral:rRNA from 1 species
AGAGUUUGAUCAUGGCUCAGAGCGAACGCUGGCGGCAGGCCUAACACAUGCAAGUCGAGCGCCGUAGCAAUACGGAGCGGCAGACGGGAGAGUAACACGUGGGAACGUGCCCUUCAGUUCGGAACAACCCAGGGAAACUUGAGCUAAUACCGGAUACGCCCGCAAGGGGAAAGAUUUAUCGCUGAGAGAUCGGCCCGCGU